rnacentral:rRNA from 1 species
UACGUAGGGGGCAAGCGUUGUCCGGAAUCAUUGGGCGUAAAGAGCGUGUAGGCGGCUCGGUAAGUCCGCUGUAAAAGUCCAGGGCUCAACCCUGGAAAGCCGGUGGAAACUGUCGAGCUAGAGUCCGGAAGAGGCGAGUGGAAUUCCUGGUGUAGCGGUGGAAUGCGCAGAUAUCAGGAGGAACACCAAUGGCGAAGGCAGCUCGCUGGGACGGUACUGACGCUGAGACGCGAAAGCGUGGGAGCAAACAGG